rnacentral:rRNA from 1 species
UACGUAGGGUGCGAGCGUUAAUCGGAAUUACUGGGCGUAAAGCGUGCGCAGGCGGAUUGUUAAGCAAGAUGUGAAAUCCCCGGGCUUAACCUGGGAAUGGCAUUUUGAACUGGCAAUCUAGAGUGUGUCAGAGGGGGGUAGAAUUCCACGUGUAGCAGUGAAAUGCGUAGAGAUGUGGAGGAAUACCGAUGGCGAAGGCGGCCUCCUGGCUUAAUACUGACGCUGAGGUGCGAAAGCGUGGGGAUCAAACAGG